rnacentral:rRNA from 1 species
UUGUCUACCUUACUAUACGUUGCUUCGGCGGGUCCGUCCUGA